rnacentral:ncRNA from 1 species
UCGACUUCGAGGUCGAAUCUGAAGGAAGUCGGCGGCAAACCUUUGGCCUGAGGAAUACGAAACGAACCUCAUAGGAGGCCAACGUUCUUUGGAUGAGUUUACCAAACAAAACAAAGUCCAUACUGUAGCCAACAGAGGCCAUAGUACAUGCUAUGUAACGACAUGAAAUGAAAAGACC